UUCUUCCUCUUUGUUGUUUUUGA
rnacentral:snRNA from 1 species